rnacentral:sRNA from 1 species
ACCUGAAAUGACAUUGUCUGGUUUUCAAAUUGAAGU